CACCCUACCAUCGCGCCGCUGCCGUCACUGCCGCUCGCCUCGGCCCCCGUCCCGGACCUCACGCUGCACGGCGCCUCCUCCCCGCGCCGACGACCUCCCCUUGCUCCGCCUCUUCUUCCUGUCCGGCUAGAACCACGACGCACGGCCUCUCACGCUCCCUCGCGACCCUCAGCCAUGGCUAGGGUUUCAGGCUGGGCAGUGCCUUCACCGCCGGCGCGGCUCCGGUGGAUUCCGACGGCUCCUCUCCGUCUCCUCCCUCGCCCUCACAUGUGGUUAUGCUUCCCACUGGCCACGAGGUGCAGCCUUGCAGGGGCACAUCGGGCUGGGCCUCCUCUGCUUCCAGUGAACGGUUCACUGAGAUUGUUGGAAGUCCUUAUUACAGGCUCCAGAUGUGUACAUUGGCAUGAUAUCUAAGAGAAACUAUGGCCAAGAGGUUGAUGUUUGGAGUGCAGGAGUGAUUCUUUACAUCCUUCUUUGCGGUGUCCCUCCAUUCAGGGCAGGUCGUCGGCACAUCUUAUAACUCAACUGGAUCUUUUUGUUAACAAGCAGCUAGACCCAAGGUACUAAUGUCCAAUUGCUCGGUCAUUUUGAUAUUUAGUCUCUCAAGAGUUCUUUUCAUAGUUUAUUAUUCUUCAAGUUCCACUUUCAUCUUACUCAGUCGUGUCCAAAUGCCUUUUCUAUAAAUUAUUCUGAGACAAGGUGUGUUGCUGCUAUGCUCCGAUGUAUACUUACGUGGUUCUUGCUUCUUAUUUUUCGAGCGUGUGUGUAUGAUGAUGUUGGUUUGUUGCCAUUGCGCAUGGUCCGGUUGCGGCUCAUGCUCAAGCCAUGGUGUUGGGUUGGUAGGUGGUCGUGGGCGUGGCCGCGGGCGGUCUGCUGGUCGUCGUGGACGAGCCACUGGCCGUGGAGGUUCUAAUAUAGGGCGUGCUCCUGUUUCUGAUCAUGUUGCUGCUUGCCGGGUGCCUGCCGCUGGAGAUGAGCCUCGUGACAGGCGUAGGGGUGUGAGUUGGUGCGCGCCUGCUGCUGGAGCUGAGCCUAUCGCCAGGCGCGGGCGUGGCGCUCGGCGGGUGCCUGCUGCUGGGCAUGGCGCCAUACCUCGCUCAAGUGGUAGGGGUGUUCGUGGCCGUGUCCCUGGUCGUGGUGCUGAUCCUGGGCAUGCAGCCGCUGCUAUACAUGUGCCUGUCCUUGGUCGUGCUGCUGAUCCUGGGCACGACGCCGCUUCUGUGCAUAGAAAAUUCAUCUCUGCUGUCAACCAUCUUGGAAUUGACAGUAAGAACUUACCAGUACCUCCCUUCUCUGUUUCUACUUAUUUUCUGGAGUAACUUUGUUCCUCACUAUUCUUUCAUGUUUAUGCAAAAGGUGUGCCGAAAAGGAUACUUGAGCUCAUGAAUGUUGAGAAACUCACUAGGGAAGAUGUUGCAAGUCAUCAACAAGCAAGCCACUUAAUUAACUUUCUUGUAGUUAUCAGCAGAUCAGUACCGUGUGCGUUCCAUACUUGCCGAGCUUUAUAUGUACUGCAGCCAGCAGCUAGGCAUACAGAGAUAAUACUUAGAAAAAGUUAUAACUAAGAGUUAACUUUUGCUGUGUGUGGCUCUACGCAUUAUAUAUUCUGCAACUUCUAUUAUGUUUUUUUUGAGAAAACGCAAGGGACCUUUGUGUUUCAUUUCAUUGAGAAGGGAGUGGAAAUGAUACAUGUUUCUAGCAACAAGAAAAAGUGACAUGCCAUAUCUAUGGAUCUUACUCCAUGGGGUAUCCAUCAACGUAUGAUGUUUCACAAGGAAAUGAGUUUCCUGCAUUCUCAUGUUAAAAAGAAUUAUAAAGAAACCAAGCAGAAUAUGAUGUCAAAGUUUUAAGUUAUUAUUGGGUUCGUCCACCAAUCAAGGUUUGCCGAAAGUUAUCAACUUCUGCUUUGUAUCAUGCAUUUCUGUUUGUGCAAGAAAUCCAAUUGAAAUUUGUCUGUUGUCGUUCGCAUGUACUUUCUUUUGUUGCUUAUAUAUAUUUCAACCACUUACUUAUGUUGUCUCUAAAUCAUUUUCGACGACUCAGGUUGACCACACUAUUGUGAUAUUCUUGGCCAGGAUCACUUUAUAUCAUGUUGGACCAUCUUGAAAUUCAUAGAGCCUUUUAUCAUCGAAGGAUGUACUCACAGAACACAAUGAGUGGACUGUGCUUUUCUACACUUUUGUCCAUAGCAGUGGGAUAUGUUUUCUGCAGUGCACGGCUACCCUCUAGUGUCGCGAUGGCUGGCUAAGAGAUCUAGGUUCAUGGCUCGCUAGGUUCAGCCGUUCCACUAACAGCUGUCUCCGAGCACUUGCACAGGUUGAGUUGAGCAUAUGUAUACCUACCUUAGUCGAUAGAAGAUUUUAGAAGCGCAUUGUUUCAGAAUUAAGAACUUUAUGUCUCUGAUAUGGAAGCAAAAAUAAUUAUGUGUGGUUUCAUGGACUCUUACCUUAUUGAUGGGCACCAUGCAGAGCUUGAGGAGAUGUAGGCCAGUGUGCCACCUCUUUCGCUUUUCAAGUGAUCGCUGAGCCACCUUCUUUGCUUCAGAGGCUUCUUGUGUCACCAUAGACCCGUGUGUCACAACAUGCAAGCAAAUCAAAUGAAGGAUUGUGGACAAAGUUAUAUAUCAACCAAAUUGAAUGAAGGCGUGUGGACAAAGUUAUAUAUCCAAUAGUCAACCAUGUAGUUUACUAUCGUGCAGUAUGAAAAACAGUGUAAAUAAGUUACCUGGGACUAAUACUAUGGCCUGCUUUUGGUUUCUAUCAUACUAAACCUUGCUUAGGUAUUUCACGUCACAUUGUAUAACAAAUGCGCCGAUGGCAUGUAGAUAGGGCCAUCUUUUAGAUAUUUUACGGGGUGAUUACUGUUGUGAGUUUCUACCAUCACCUACUCUUUGAGUUAUAUCAUAUAUAUUUCCAUCCUGGGGUAUAUUGAGUAAUAUCAGAUGUUAAUUGAA